rnacentral:rRNA from 1 species
AACGAACGCUGGCGGCAUGCCUAACACAUGCAAGUCGAACGAGACCUUCGGGUCUAGUGGCGCACGGGGGCGUAACGCGUGGGAACCUGCCCUUAGGUUCGGAAUAACUCCCCGAAAGGGGUGCUAAUACCGGAUAAUGUCUUCGGACCAACGAUUUAUCGCCUUUGGAUGGGCCCGCGUUGGAUUAGCUAGUUGGUAGGGUAAAAGCCUACCAAGGCGACGAUCCAUAGCUGGUCUGAGAGGAUGCUCAGCCACACUGGGACUGCGACACGGCCCAGACUCCUACGGGAGGCAGCAGUGGGGAAUAUUGGACGAUGGGCGAAAGCCUGAUCCAGCAAUGCCGCGUGAGUGAUGAAGGCCUUAGGGUUGUACAGCUCUUUUACCCGGGAUGAUAAUGACAGUACCGGGAGAAUAAGCUCCGGCUAACUACGUG